rnacentral:rRNA from 1 species
GACGAACGCUGGCGGCGUGCUUAACACAUGCAAGUCGAACGGAAAGGCCCAGCUUGCUGGGGACUCGAGUGGCGAACGGGUGAGUAACACGCGGGUGAUCCGCCCUCCACUCUGGGAUAAGCCUGGGAAACUGGGGCUAAUACCGGAGAUGACCGACUGUCGCAUGGGGGUUGGUGGAAAGCUUUUGCGGUUUGGGAUGGGCCCGCGGCUUAUCAGCUUGUUGGUGGGGUAGUGGCCUACCAAGGCGACGACGGGUAGCCGACCUGAGAGGGUGAUCGGCCACACUGGGACUGAGACACGGCCCAGACUCCUACGGGAGGCAGCAGUGGGGAAUAUUGCACAAUGGGCGGAAGCCUGAUGCAGCGACGCCGCGUGAGGGAUGACGGCCUUCGGGUUGUAAACCUCUUUCGCCAGGGACGAAGCGUGAGUGACGGUACCUGGAGAAGAAGCACCGGCUAACUACGUG